UAUUGGUUAAUAUAAUCACCCAAUAUUACUAAGAAAUUAAUUCCCUUUUCUCCAAUUUGAUUUUGAAGCCAUGAAUCACAAAACAUUCUCUUUGUUUUUCUUAUAUUGUUUUGUCAUACUCUCUCUAUCCUCAAUAGCCUCUGGGAGAUUGCAAGGUGUUGGUGCAGUCAGUAAAAUGCAAAUGCGACCGAAUCACUCUGGAACCGCUCAGUAUGGAUAUGGAGGUCCACCAGCAGAUAAUGAAUAGACUGGAGUAUGAGGACUAAUUCCAAAUAAGGAUUGAUUGGACUGGCUUGACUAGGACUAUAUAUGUGCCUAGAGGAUCCCAAAAUUCUUUAGUGAUUUUUAUGGUGUAAAAUAUAAUAUAUUUUGUUAUGCUUGAUAGAAAAUAAACCUAUAAAUAUAUAUAUAUAUAUAUAAUAAUAAUAAUAAUAAUAAUAUUAUGUAGUUUUUAUUUAGUUAUGGAAGGAUAAAAUCACUUUUGUAAAAUCGAUAAAAUUGAUCUAUGCAUAGAUACAUGUAUCUGUAUAGGUGUACCUUUUCUUCUUGUUCAUCUUUUUUUUUUUUAAGCAUGUAGCUAUGCAGAGUGCGUAGUAAAUUAGAUUCAGAAUAGUAGAGAGACAAGAGAGGCGAGAUACAUUCGUCAUAUAUAUCUAUCUAGAAGCAAAUAUAGUUAUAUGUGAUAAAAUAUGUAGUUAUUAAAAUAUUGUUUUGUUGAGUAAUUAAAACAUAUAACAGUGUAUUGUUAUGGAAGUUGCUUAGAAGAAAUUGAGAAUUUUCUAACAGCAAAGGGUCCACACUCCACAUAAUUCCUCAAUAUAAUGAAAUUUCCUAGUAAAAUAAUUUUUAAUUCCAUAAAAAAACCACUCAAAUUCAUGCAUAAAUUCCACCAAAUGACCCCAAAAUGUCAGCCAAAAAGACUCCUAGUCAAGCCUUAGAAAUGGGAAAAUGAAAGUGAAAACAAUUCAAACAUUAAAGGGUCCACAUACUUAUGAAUUUCUUUUAUCAUUGCUCCCUUGAGGAAUAUUAUAAAAGGGGAAGCAUAUAAGCUUAUUGAUUAAUAUAAUCACCCAAUAUUAUUAAGAAAUUAAUUCCCUUUUCUACAUUUUGAUCUUCCUUCCCCUCUCUUUUGAAGCCAUGAAUCACAAACGUACUCUUUGUUUUUCUUAACUUGUUUUGUCAUAAUCCUCUUUCUACCCUCAAUAGCCUUUGGGAAAUUGCAAGGUGUAUAGUACCAUUUCUCUCUGAUACUAUUUAGUGUUUUGUGUAGUCCGAUUGUAGUAUUAUUUUGUUAUAUUGUAGUAGUGUUCUACGACUAUGAUCUGUUGUUUUUGUUUAUUGUGUCUAUAUCUUUUGUACAACCUUUUUACCUCAACUCUAAGGUAAAGGUAUGAUUUGCGUACAUUCUAUCCUCCCUAAACCCUUUUAUAAGGGAAUGGAGUGGGUAGUCGUUGUUGUCGUUCAUAAUAUGAUUACGUUAUAUCAUACGAGAUAUCUUUCUUUUCUCAUCCUCUAACCUUUGAUGAUGGGUAAUCGAUCUAUUCUUGGAACA